rnacentral:rRNA from 1 species
AUUGAACGCUGGCGGCAUGCCUUACACAUGCAAGUCGAACGGUAACGGGCCUUCGGGUGCCGACGAGUGGCGAACGGGUGAGUAAUACAUCGGAACGUGCCCGAUCGUGGGGGAUAACGAGGCGAAAGCUUUGCUAGUACCGCAUACGAUCUACGGAUGAAAGCAGGGGACCGCAAGGCCUUGCGCGGACGGAGCGGCCGAUGGCAGAUUAGGUAGUUGGUGGGAUAAAAGCUUACCAAGCCGACGAUCUGUAGCUGGUCUGAGAGGAUGAUCAGCCACACUGGGACUGAGACACGGCCCAGACUCCUACGGGAGGCAGCAGUGGGGAAUUUUGGACAAUGGGCGCAAGCCUGAUCCAGCCAUGCCGCGUGCAGGAUGAAGGCCUUCGGGUUGUAAACUGCUUUUGUACGGAACGAAAAGCCUUCUUUUAAUACAGGAGGGUCAUGACGGUACCGUAAGAAUAAGCACCGGCUAACUACGUG